rnacentral:tRNA from 1 species
UGCGGUAUCGUCUAAUGGACUAGGACAUAAGUUUCUGGUACUUAGAAUAUAGGUUCGAUUCCUAUUACCGCAGCCA